rnacentral:rRNA from 1 species
GACGAACGCUGGCGGCGUGCUUAACACAUGCAAGUCGAGCGGUAAGGCCUUUCGGGGUACACGAGCGGCGAACGGGUGAGUAACACGUGGGUGAUCUGCCCUGCACUCUGGGAUAAGCCUGGGAAACUGGGUCUAAUACCUGAUAUUACUACAUGCUGCAUGGUGGGUGGUGGAAAGCUUUAUCGGUGCAGGAUGGGCCCGCGGCCAAUCAGCUUGUUGGUGGGGUAAUGUCCUACCCAGGCGACGACGGGGAGCCGACCUGUGAGAGUGACCGGCCACAAUGGGACUGAGACACGGCCCAGACUCCUACGGGAGGCAGCAGUGGGGAAUAUUGCACAAUGGGCGGAAGCCUGAUGCAGCGACGCCGCGUGAGGGAUGAAGGCCUUCGGGUUGUAAACCUCUUUCAGCAGGGACGAAGCGUGAGUGACGGUACCUGCAGAAGAAGCACCGGCUAACUACGUGCCAGCAGCCGCGGUAAUAC